GCCUUCGUGGUGUAGUGGUCAUCAUGCUUGGUGCGCAUUCGAGAGGUCCGUGGUUCGAAUACCGGCGAGGGCA
rfam:Stegodyphus mimosarum contig5276, whole genome shotgun sequence.